UAACGCUGGCUGUGUGCCUAAUACAUGCAUGUUGAACGAAGCAGUAUUUAUAUUGACUUAGUAGCGAAUGGGUGAGUAACACGUACCUAACCUACCUUUAAGAUUGGGAUAACUACUGGAAACAGUUGCUAAUACCAAAUAACAAAUUUUUUCGCAUGAAAAAAUUUUAAAAGAAGCAUAAGAGGUAACUCCGCUUCACUUAAAAAUGGGGGUGCGGAACAUUAGCUAGUUGGUAGGGUAAUGGCCUACCAAGGCGAUGAUGUUUAGCCGGGCCGAGAGGCUGUACGGCCACACUGGGACUGAGAUACGGCCCAGACUCCUACGGGAGGCAGCAGUAGGGAAUUUUCCACAAUGAGCGAAAGCUUGAUGGAGCGACACAGCGUGCAGGAUGAAGGCCUUCGGGUUGUAAACUGCUGUGGUAAGGAAAGAAAAAAUAGGGUAGGAAAUGACCCUUAAUUGACGGUACCUUAUUAGAAAGCGAUGGCUAACUAUGUGCCAGCAGCCGCGGUAAUACAUAGGUCGCAAGCGUUAUCCGGAAUUAUUGGGCGUAAAGAGUUCGUAGGUGGUUUGUUAAGUCUGAAGUUAAAUCCAAAAGCUCAACUUUUGCCCGCUUUAGAUACUAGCAAACUGGAAUUGCAAAGAGGUUAGCGGAAUUCCUAGUGAAGCGGUGGAAUGCGUAGAUAUUAGGAAGAACACCAAUAGGCGAAGGCAGCUAACUGGUUGUAUAUUGACACUGAGGAACGAAAGCGUGGGGAGCAAACAGGAUUAGAUACCCUGGUAGUCCACGCCGUAAACGAUGAUCAUUAGUUGGUAGAAAAAUUUACCGAUGCAGCUAACGCAUUAAAUGAUCCGCCUGAGUAGUAUACUCGCAAGAGUGAAACUUAAAGGAAUUGACGGGGACCCGCACAAGCGGAGGAGCAUGUGGUUUAAUUUGAAGAUACGCGUAGAACCUUACCCACUCUUGACAUCCCUUGCAAAGUUAUAGAGAUAUAAUGGAGGCUAACAAGGUGACAGAUGGUGCAUGGUUGUCGUCAGCUCGUGUCGUGAGAUGUUAGGUUAAGUCCUGCAACGAGCGCAACCCUUGUCUUUAGUUACUAACAUUAAGUUGAGAACUCUAGAGAGACUGCCAACGAAAGUUGGAGGAAGGUGGGGACGACGUCAAAUCAUCAUGCCUCUUACGAGUGGGGCAACACACGUGCUACAAUGGUUGGUACAAAGAGAUGCGACAUAGUGAUAUCAAGCAAAUCUCAAAAAACCAAUCUCAGUUCGGAUUGAAGUCUGCAACUCGACUUCAUGAAGUCGGAUUCGCUAGUAAUCGCAGAUCAGCUAUGCUGCGGUGAAUACGUUCUCGGGUCUUGUACACACCGCCCGUCACACCAUGGGAGUUGGUAAUACCCGAAGAUGGUUAGUUAACCUCGGAGGCAACUAUCUAAGGUAGGACUGAUGACUGGGGUGAAGUCGUAACAAGGUAUCCCUACGAGAACGUGGGGAUGGAUCACCUCCUUUCUACGGAGUACACAUACAUCUUAUUAAAUUUGGUUAUUUAAAAAUCCUUUUAUAAUAAAAGGUUAUUAUGGGCUUGCCAAAUAGUUUUGUAUCUAGUUUUGAAAGAUUUAAUUUUUUCUUUCUAAUAAUAAAUGUUUUAAUAUAGUUCUUUGAAAACUGAAUAGCAAAUAUUGAAAUUUUAAUUUCAUAAUAUUUCAACAACGACAUUACAACACCGAGUCUAACUGUUUUAUUGAACAGUUAGCUUAAAAUAGAUACCUUAGAUAUAUAAAUCUAAAACAAUAGGCUUAAAAAAUAAGUUAUAUUAGCUUUUAAAUAAGUAAGAGUAUAUAGUGGAUGCCUUGGGUCUGGAAGUCGAUGAAGGACGUGAUUACCUGCGAUAAGCCUCGUGGAGCUGGAAUACGCUAUGAUACGGGGAUUUCCGAAUGGGGGAACCUAACUAGAUAAACUCUAGUUGAUUUAUAAUGAAUACAUAGUUAUAAAUGCGAGACACCUUGUGAAUUGAAACAUCUUAGUAGCAAGAGGAAAAGAAAAUAAAUAAUGAUUUCGUUAGUAGUGGCGAGCGAAUGCGAAAGAGCCCAAACCAUCAUUUUGAUGGGGUUGUAGGACAUUCUACAUAAAGUUACAAAAUUUUAUUAUAGUUGAAAAAGUUGGAAAGCUUUAACAUAGAAGGUGAUAUUCCUGUAAACGAAAUAAUAAAAUCUUUUGAAUGUAUCCUGAGUAGGGCGGGGCACGUGAAACCCUGUCUGAAUCUGCCGGGACCACCCGGUAAGGCUAAAUACUAACCAGACACCGAUAGUGAAACAGUA
rnacentral:rRNA from 2 species